UCCACGGUCAGCACAGAAUGCAGGCCCAGGAAGCUCUUGUGACCUCCAGGCCAGCAACACCGCUCCCUCUCAGGGCACCUGGAAUUUCUUGUUUGCACACUGGACGUGCACUUGACCCGCACAUUUUGUUUCUGGCAGUGGUGUCACGUACUUCCUUGAUGCUGGGAGGUCAACAAUUGAGCGGGAGUGUUUGAAGAGGAAAGAGGAUGAGCCAAGUCUGACAAGACCACAGUCUCCUUCCUGCUGCAGUCACCUUGGGCUUCCUAGUAGCGUCACCUGGGGCAAAGAUGGAUGGGAUCUGGAUGGCUUGUUGGAGCAGGGAGUCAGGAGCUAUCCCAUGUGAGAGAGUCCACUGUCAUUUCCAUUUUGUGGAUGAAGAAAGAAGUCCGGGAAACAGGAAGUAACUUGUCCAAGCUAGGACAAGCAGUGUGCCACAGCUGUCUGCUCCAUAGACCACCUGUCACACUGGUCUUAGAGAUUUUUGGGUGAGGAGGAACUUUUGUUACAAUGACCAAGCCCAAGGAAAAGUCUCUGGACCUUUGGAAGGAUGUUCAAAACCCCGUCUCCAUCCCAGUUCCUGCUUGAUAAGCCAGGAAUCAAGUUGGAUGUUCCACAACGUUCCGCUCCCUGGCCAAUAGGGCAGGUGCUGGCCAGCACUUCCCACCUCAGAAGUUCACGGGUCCCAACAAUAUGGGCGGCCCACUAAUGGUGGGCUGUGCCAAUGGCUUUCAGACAGGAAACUGCUGGGUGGUUUGCCUUCCUUCACACUUCUGAGGAGAGAUGACCCAGAAGGACAACCUGAUGAGAACUGAGAUCUGGAACUGCUAUGACUGUCCCCACUUCCAAAACCCCCAAUCAUUCUCUGGUUCCACAGGACUUGGCUCUGCCUGGCUCUCAGGGCCCCUCCUGCAGCCAGCAGCUGUUCAGUGUUGAUUAUAGGAUCCCAAUGAAUCCCAAACUACCGUGAUUCACAAGAGGAAAGAACACRCGUAAGCCCUCCAUAGCCAGAGAGCGAUUUGUUUACGUAGUCCCAUUGAACAGAAACAAUUCGCUUGUGCUGCUAGGGAACAGAGGCCCAGGACCAGCCCUGGGGGAGUGAACUUGUCCCCUCUCAGGACCUCAGGACAAGGAAGGAGGCGUGAUGGAUAGAGAAGCAGCAGAUCACUCAAGUGGAAGACACUUGAGGCUAUGUCCCCCGCCCUCAGCAACAGGUGCACUGUGAAUGAGUGAGCCCUGAGGAGUUGGGGUGGGUGCACUCUGCCGCCCCAGCAGGGGGUUUCAGAAGGCAGGACCACUUGCAGAGAUGGCAGCUGGUGGAGACCUGAGGCCUGGGGAGUGACAGGCAGAAAUAACGGAUCCGGUGAUGGCAUCCCUUACAAUGGGCUU